AACACUGUUAACCUGCGGUACCUGCGGAAGGAUCAUUACAGAGUGUUUAGCCCCCUAUAAAAUGGUGGGUCUAACCUCCCGUCCUUUGCUGGGUCCCCCUUCUGGAGGACUUUCAAAACUUUCUGCUUCGGCGGGGUAUACCCGCCGGAACACCCUCAAAAAAUUCUUGAUCAAAAUGGUUCGGUCCGAGAAACUUUUUGUGAAAAUUAGCGAAAAACUUUCAACAACGGAUCUCAGAUC
rnacentral:misc_RNA from 1 species